ACUAGCAUCCAUGAAUAUAUAUUUUCUGAAGGUAGGUCCCUAACUCAACGUUAUCCUGGUACGGCUACAGAGCGACGUAUCCGUAUCUGAUACGGCAACGGAUACGGAUACAUAUCGGAUAUGUUCCGAUACAUAUUCCGUACGUAUCCCACAUAUUCGCGAUUUAAAAAAACAAAAUAAAUCGAGAUAUGCCAGCGAUACGGCCGCGACGUGCCUCCGUCUUCGCUCGCAUCAGGGAUGCGCCGCCUCAUACGCUCCCAUCCUGAUGGCUGUCUCUCGUGCGUGCCCGGCGAUGCCACCAGAGACGCGGCUGCAGCAGCGCGCUUGGUUGCCGUGCGCGGGCCACAACGUCCUCUCCGCGAGACGGAAGAGCUGCCGCGGCUGGGCGGUGGCGCAUCUCCUUCGCCGCCAACCUCGGAGGCCACGACCGUUGCCGGGCAUAGCGGAGGCCGGUGGCAGGCUGGCCGCUGGCAACAUCAAAGCAAGGAGCUUUUUCAUUGUUUGCUUGAGUGCCUGGCCGGUUUUUAUUACUAGUACCAGCUCAGAAAGAGACAACAGCAGCGAGCGCACACACACGGACAUGGACAUGGCAUGGGCGGAUGGUCUCUCUCCGACUUCGUUUCCAAGGGCCCUGCUGCACUUGCACCCUGCACUGCACUUGCUUGCGGUUGCCGGCAAUCGACGUGUGUCUGUACUUGCCGUCGUGGAAUCGUCCGAUUUCACGACCAACUCAGCAUCAGCGAUGACAUGAACAGUCUGUGUGCAUGUGUGAUGGAUUGAGAUCAGGGUGCACUUCGAUAUUGCAAGUGCACACUAAAGAACUGCAAUGAAUCUGAGCCUUUCAUAUUUUAAUCUAAUGGUACAUGUUCGCUGCUA